UCGAAAAAUUGGACUGAUUCA
ensembl:piRNA 21ur-2717 ncRNA